CCCUGGAGCUGACCUUUUCCGGGCUUGUUCCUAGGCUGCUCACAUCACCCAACACAACCGCGGGUUAGGUCUAUGGGAUAUGGCUAGCAGGUAUAUUUGAUUUCAUGGGUGACUGUUUUUGAGUGAGGCUGUCUACACAAUGUUGAAAAAGAUUUCAUCACCCUGCACUGGUGGGCAGGGCCCCAGCACUCAAUGUGUGCAUUAUCUCACUGGAAUGAUGAGACACAUGAUGGAUUUUGAGCAAUGUAGAUUAGAGAGUUAAGCUGGUUAUCACCAAGGUCUAGAACCACUGACCCAGGAAUCAGAAAGUGAAGAGUUGGACCGGGACUUGGAACGUUCUCCAGAGGAGAUCCGUGGGGUCCUCAUGCCUGUUUUCAUUGGCUGUAGCACAGCCAAAUGGGUGCGAUCAGCUCGCCGGUGAUUUGGAAGCCAGCACACUCCAAGGGAGGGAAAUAUUUCAUUCUAUGGAAAUGACAGGUCCAGUUCUGGCUCAGGAACACUGAGACCUUGAGACCAACCUUGCUAAAGUGCGAGAAGGAGUAGGGGUUUCUCUAAUAGCCUCCGAGGGCUGUGGCGGUGAUCAAGACUCCCAUGUGCUUGUGUGGUGCCAGGGAGAGAGGAAGCAGUGAAAGGGCUGCAGGAGGAGGCGCCACGUGAGGCUGAGCUGAAAUGGAAUUUCAUGUCACGAAGCCAGACAAUGCAUUAUUUCCCGCCAGCGUACGGAGAUAAAACCUCCGCUCCAACUGCUGCGUAUGGGAUCACUUUGAACUGCUGGAUGAAAUUCCCAAGUGGAAAUUCCCCUCCUCUCAUAUUCCUUCGUGUUUACUUUCCAUUUACAUCUGCAUAGCUCUAUGCUUUAGGUAAAACAGUGGCUAACUUAGUUGAUCUCUCAGAUUAAUAAUCUAUUUCUUUUUCCCAUUCACUACAACACUUCACAUUUGUAUUUGUUUACUAAUUCUUUAAAGAG
rnacentral:lncRNA from 1 species